GGCGAGAUGGCCGAGCGGUCUAAGGCGCCAGACUAAGGAGACCAAGUCAUUAGAUGACUACUCAAAGCUUCACGGCUGCGAUAUCUGGUCCGAAAGGGCGUGGGUUCGAAUCCCACUCUCGUCA
rnacentral:tRNA from 1 species